rnacentral:rRNA from 1 species
AUUGAACGCUGGCGGCAGGCUUAACACAUGCAAGUCGAGCGAGCGGCGGACGGGUGAGUAAUGUCUGGGAAACUGCCUGAUGGAGGGGGAUAACUACUGGAAACGGUAGCUAAUACCGCAUACCAUCGGAUGUGCCCAGAUGGGAUUGGCUAGUAGGUGGGGUAAAGGCUCACCUAGGCGACGCUCCCUAGCUGGUCUGCGAGGAUGACCAGCCACACGGGAACUGAGACACGGUCCAGACUCCUACGGGAGGCAGCAGUGGGGAAUAUGGCACAAUGGGCGCAAGCCGGAUGCAGCCAUGCCGCGUGGAUGAAGAAGGUCUUCGGGUUGUAAAGUACUUUCAGUGGGGAGGCGUUACCCGCAGAAGAAGCACCGGCUAACUCCGUGCCAGCAGCCGCGGUAAUUC